rnacentral:rRNA from 1 species
GAUGAACGCUGGCGGCGUGCCUAAUACAUGCAAGUCGAGCGAACAGACGAGGAGCUUGCUCCUCUGACGUUAGCGGCGGGCGGGUGAGUAACACGUGGAUAACCUACCUAUAAGACUGGGAUAACUUCGGGAAACCGGAGCUAAUACCGGAUAAUAUAUUGAACCGCAUGGUUCAAUAGUGAAAGACGGCUUUGCUGUCACUUAUAGAUGGAUCCGCGCCGCAUUAGCUAGUUGGUAAGGUAACGGCUUACCAAGGCAACGAUGCGUAGCCGACCUGAGAGGGUGAUCGGCCACACUGGAACUGAGACACGGUCCAGACUCCUACGGGAGGCAGCAGUAGGGAAUCUUCCGCAAUGGGCGAAAGCCUGACGGAGCAACGCCGCGUGAGUGAUGAAGGUCUUCGGAUCGUAAAACUCUGUUAUUAGGGAAGAACAAAUGUGUAAGUAACUAUGCACGUCUUGACGGUACCUAAUCAGAAAGCCACGGCUAACUACGUG